rnacentral:rRNA from 1 species
UACGAGGGGUGCAAGCGUUGCUCGGAAUUAUUGGGCGUAAAGGGUAGGUAGGUGGUCUCAUUUGUCUAGGGUGAAAGCCUUGAGCUUAACUCAAGAAGUGCCCCGGAAACGGUGAGACUAGAGUCCUGGAGAGGGUUGUGGAAUUCCCGGUGUAGCGGUGAAAUGCGUAGAGAUCGGGAGGAACACCAGAGGCGAAGGCGGCAACCUGGACAGGCACUGACACUCAACUACGAAAGCGUGGGGAGCAAACAGG